GGGGCUGACUGGUUUUGACAGCAAGAGUAAUGAAACCGUAAGCAUGUCGAGCAUUGUAUUUUGGCUCGUAAAUAUCAAAUUACAACCUUUUUAAAUGGCGAGUAUAACUACGCUAUGGCUGCCUAAUUAGAGUAAUUAGGACGCCUUUGCUUCCGAACAAGAGAGAGCUCAAAGCUCUAGUUUUUUGAAGCAUCAGAUAAAGUUUGAGCUAGCAACUUAGCGCUUCGGCUAAGAAGCGAAACUAAAGAAGAUACGGUUGGAGUUAGGUUGUGUUUUCCCUUACCCUUCCCGACAAUUAAAAAACAAUAAACAUGUAGAAAGCGCUUUGAUUCCUUGUUUGGACGCGAGUUCGAUUCUCGCCAGCUCCACAA
rnacentral:tmRNA from 1 species